GUGCCAGCAGCCGCGGUAAUACAUGGGGUGCAAACGUUGCUCGGAAUUAUUGGGCGUAAAGCGCGCGUAGGCGGUUACCUAAGUCGGAUGUGAAAGCCCCUGGCUCAACUGGGGAAGCGCAUCCGAAACUGAGUAGCUGGAGUACCAAAGAGGGUCGCGGAAUUCCCGGUGUAGAGGUGAAAUUCGUAGAUAUCGGGAGGAACACCGGCGGCGAAGGCGGCGACCUGGGUGGAUACUGACGCUGAGGCGCGAAAGCGUGGGGAGCAAACAGGAUUAGAAACCCCCGUAGUCC
rnacentral:rRNA from 1 species